UAUUGAUCGAGUGAAGAGUUUUGGAGUAGAAACCAGAGGAUAAGCAUCCAGAAAACUAGGAUAAAAAAUAUUCGAGGACUCAGAACCCUCAGAGUUGAGAAAGGAGGCCAAAAAUUACAACUCCACAUGGGACUGGUCUUUAUGAGUGAUGUAGAGGAUCCAUAGGAAGACUGGUCAUGUGAUGAGCACUUUUAUUUCUUACGAAAAGUGACUAUUGAACUUACUCUUUAAUUGUUAACCUAGGAAGCACUUCUUCACUUUAAACCGACCACUUACAAAAGUAGCAGGUGAAGGUUUCUCUGUGGACUGGGCGACAGAUAGGAGGACCAGAAUAAGUGGUUAACUUGGAUUGACCUUCUGAACAGCUGCCCCAUUAAACUUCAGAGACAGCACAUCCCCAUUGCUGCAAUCAAGUGACUACAGCUGAAUGUGUAGUGUCUAGAUGAUGCCCAUGUGACAACUGAAGGCUGGCUCUGAUGGAUGACUUAGGUAACCUCUGGAGGGUACCCACAUUGUGACCAUAAACCACCAUGCCCAUAUGGAAAACAUUGCAAUCCUGGGGCAAAAGAUAAACUUCAUGCCUGAUAAAAAUGAGAAGGUAGAAUCUCUGGAGUCUGAGAUGUUGUGCUGAAAAGGAAGGAUGUGUGUUACAAACUACCACAUUUCCCUGGAAGAAGCUGAUCGUCAUAUGAAAGUCUACUGAUGAGUUUAAGCAGGACCAAUUGCACAAUGCAUAAAAAAAUAUCAUCAUAGGCCAUAUGGUAGAGGAGAAAGAUCAUUCUACUAUGAAUGAGGAUAUUCUAUGUACUUGUAGUUUUUAAAAAAAGCAGUGUGAACUUGAGAAUCUCAGACUUCGUAACUGGCAAGGAUUCUGGACCACAACAUCCUGCAAUGUCCUGGUGAUAACUUUCCUUCCAGACAGAUAUCAGCUGAGCACAGUGUACCAUCAGCUGCCCACACUGAGAGAAACAAAUCAGAAAACCGCUGUUCCAUAAUCACAGAAUUGAAAGAACUGCAUACCCUCCGGACAAUGCCUCAUGUCACCAACACCAGCAGUGCCAUGGCCAUCAGUGCAGCAGAAGUGACUUGCUUCCAGAUCCUGCUUCCAGUGGCUGUCACACUGGGCUUUGAGGUCAAUGAUUAUAUGCCUCUGACAAUGCCCCUGCCCUUUGGCACUGCACAAGGGGUGAAGGGAGGAAGAAUACACCUGUUUAUUAUGUAUGCCACUAAAUUCUACCAUUUUGUAUUUGGUUGCUGAAAGUUCUGAAAAUGGCAUCAAACUUCACAGCACAAGUGAAAAUGAGCUGUUGUCCAUAACUGUACAAAGAUUUACAGGUAUCAAGGCAUAUUUUUGGGAAAUAUUGUGGGACUGGUCUUUACUAAUCAUUAGAUGAAACUGGUAUCAACUGAGAUGUUCACUGCCUUGGAUCCUUGGUCUCACCACAUCCCCACUGUUCUGGAACUCUGGCAUCGGCUUCUAUAUUAACCUCCUCAUUUACAAACAGCACCUUUUAUUUUCAGUGGCUGUGAAUAAUUUUGAAUAUCUAGCACAAAUAGGUAAGUUGAACAAAUAUAUUAACAAAUAAACCUUUAGCUUGAAGGAUUAAAAAGCCGAUAGUAAAGAAGUCCUGCACCAAAUUCAGAGAGAAUAAGCAAAUCUCGAAUGGCAAUGAGACUAGACUCUAUGAAUGUAUUUCCCCUAGGGCCAUUUUCCAAUUCCAAAAUAAGUUAUCAAGAUGCUACACAAUGUGUGACAGUCUUAUGUGUCUCAGAGAACAAGGGUUGGAAGUCUCAAGUCUCUCAAAAGUAGGAAAGGAUCUGAUAAACUCUCUACUACUUCAUUUGGGACACUGAAAUUCUGCUUCCUAGGAAUAAAGAUGAAUUAGAAAUAGAAUAGCCCUCACGGGGAAUGAAACCUAACACCAAGUUACCUAACACUGCAAAGGAAAUUACAAUUAUCUCAGACUGCAGGUAUUCCCAGGAAUCUGGCAAAAGCAAAUAGAAAUUCUGUUUGGAGAAAUACACCAUAAUUCUAGGCCUCAAAUUAUUUUGUUUUUCUGACUUUCAAAGAUUUUGUGAUCAGCUCUGGAGUGUGGCCUGAGAUUUUGAAUCUCUAAUAAAUUUCUAGGUGAGGAUGAUGUUGGUGCUCAGAUAAUUACUCAUUUGGACCAAGAAUAAAGCUUAUACUACAUAUGUUUAAGUAAUAACCCAGAGACUAAAGUGCAUGCUUUACUACUCUAUGAUUUAAUGUAAAAUUUAUGAUUUAAUAUAAAAAUAUAAUUAUAUAUUAAAGUAUGAAAAUACUAAACAACCACUUUCUCUCUCUUUCU